AAGCAGGAUCUAGUUACAAUGUAGCUGCGAAGUGCUGCAUUGUCUUUGCACUCUGCUCAAAAUAAAACUGUUUCCUUCCAAGCCCUGUGGCCCGGUGCUGUAGCCACCAGGGAUGUGUGGUCUCACACAU
ensembl:snoRNA SNORA63 Small nucleolar RNA SNORA63